UUCUUCACCUCGAUUUCUGCAGCUGAGCCUGCUCAGGGUCCUGCUCACAUCUUCUGGGCAAGCCCCAGUCUGAAGCAGGUGUCCCUGGAGCAGGGCUUGGCCAGCCUGGCUAUGGUGUUCUGAGAGCUCUUCCAGGAGUGAAUCCAGGGUGCCAGUCCGGCUCUUCGUCCCCUGAAAUGAUGGACAUCCCAGCUGAACCAUCUGCACAAUCCAGGAGCACCAGCUCCCUGUGUUUCCAAACUUACACCUGGAGCAUGAAAUGCUUUGCCAAGCUCAUGAUUAGGGUGGACAUUUAUAAAUUCAGAGCUGUUGCUCGUCACACCAGUAAAUGAAGGAGCAUCAGUGGGAGUUCAGGCACUGAAAUGUCCCCACAGCUCCAGUAUUUCCUCACCCAGCUUUGUUUUGGGCUGCUCCAACCACCUAUCCCCCAAACAAACACAGCAAUUAACCCUAAGGAGCGGGAAUUUUUAUUUACCAGGGCAAAAAAUAGUUACUGAGAGCCCUUCUAGGUCAGAAACAGCAUUGCCAAGACAUCAGGAACAUGAAUCCCUCUCUGGCAUUCCUCAUGAUUUUGAAGGUGUGUUUCCCCGCUGAUGCCUGGCAAGGUUGGAAAAAGAGAGAAAAAGAAGAGGAAAAGGGCCAUGGAUUUAUUGCACUAAGCAGCUUGAACCACCAAAGUGAUGCUGUGGGAUGGCAGAGCAGGGAAGGGACUGGGUUGAGCCACUCCAUCACAGCUGCUGAGUCAGAAAAACCUCCAGCUACCUGAACUCAACUUCCUACCACAAAAUACCUUUGAGAAGGACAUCAAAGAG